UACGUAGGGUGCAAGCGUUGUCCGGAAUUAUUGGGCGUAAAGAGCUCGUAGGCGGUUUGUCGCGUCUGCUGUGAAAACGCGAGGCUCAACCUCGCGCCUGCAGUGGGUACGGGCAGACUAGAGUGCGGUAGGGGAGAUUGGAAUUCCUGGUGUAGCGGUGAAAUGCGCAGAUAUCAGGAGGAACACCGGUGGCGAAGGCGGUUCUCUGGGCCUUACCUGACGCUGAGGAGCGAAAGCGUGGGGAGCGAACAGG
rnacentral:rRNA from 1 species